rnacentral:rRNA from 1 species
CGAACGCUGGCGGCGUGCUUAACACAUGCAAGUCGAGCGGUAAGGCCCUUUCGGGGGUACACGAGCGGCGAACGGGUGAGUAACACGUGGGUGACCUGCCCUUAGCUCUGGGAUAAGCCUGGGAAACUGGGUCUAAUACCGGAUAUGACUCCAUAACGCAUGUUGUGGGGUGAAAGCCUUGUGCGGCUAGGGAUGGGCCCGCGGCCUAUCAGCUUGUUGGUGGGGUGAUGGCCACCAAGGCGACGACGGGUAGCCGGCCUGAGAGGGCGACCGGCCACACUGGGACUGAGACACGGCCCAGACUCCUACGGGAGGCAGCAGUGGGGAAUCUUGCGCAAUGGGCGAAAGCCUGACGCAGCGACGCCGCGUGGGGAUGACGGCCU